UGUGUUAGUAACCAAUAAAUAUGAUGAGCUACUCUUGGUGAUAUCAAAGCACGUUCCAAUAAAAAUUUAGCCAAAGGAGAAGCUUCGUAUGUUUCAUGUUUCAAUGCUUGCAACAAUUGUGAAAAGCCGCUCAGUUAAGGAAGAAAGAGAAAAUGGAGAAGAUGAAAAAGAAGAAGAAGAAAAAGAAGAAGAAGAAGAAGAAGAAGAAGAAGAAGAAGAAGGUAUAUGAGCCGAUUCGGUAGGGGUCCGAUAAGGUGGUCCACGCAUUCGACUAAGGACGAAAAGAAAAGGAUCUCUAUUACAGCGGAGAGGUAUUGCUGCCUAUAAUCAGCUUAUGUGGUGCGAAGUAUGGGAUAUAAGGUAUAAACCAUAUAUAACGGUGAAAGGCAAAAAGGACUUCUGGGCAAAUUGGUAAGAGGAUAGGGGGAAAUAGGGGUGUCUCCACAUGGCCGAAUUGCGAUUAUUUAUAUUCAUAUCGAUGCAUGGAGAAAAGUUGGCAACCAUCUUCUUGUUACCACCAUCUAUAACUAACACGAAUAAGGACGAUCACCUAGAGCAACCAUUUUUCCAAAGGCUUUCGUCGAACGUUCGCAAUCGAACGUUCUUUCGUACAUGUUACACUACUGCUUACUACUACUGCAUCUCCAUCGGACAUAAAUACGAAAGGCACCCCGCUGUAGCGGUUUUGAGAUUUAUUGCAUAUGAGUUCUCGGAUUUGUCAAUCG